rnacentral:rRNA from 1 species
CGGCGUCACGAGUGGCAAUCACGAUUAUUGGGUCUAAAGCGUUCGUAGCCGGUUUAGUAAAUCUUUUGUGAAAUUGUCGGGCUUAACUCGACAGCGUGCAGGAGACACUGCUAAACUUGGGACCGGGAGGGGUCAGAAGUAUUUCAGGGGGAGCGGUAAAAUGUUAUAAUCCCUGAAAGACUACCAAUGGCGAAGGCAUCUGACCAGAACGGAUCCGACGGUGAGGAACGAAGGCCAGGGGAGCGAACCGGAUUAGAUACCCGUGUAGUCC